rnacentral:misc_RNA from 1 species
CCACACCCAAGGGAAGGUACCAGAC